rnacentral:rRNA from 1 species
UACAGAGGUCUCAAGCGUUGUUCGGAUUCAUUGGGCGUAAAGGGUGUGUAGGUGGCGCCGUAAGUCGGGUGUGAAAUCUCGGAGCUUAACUCCGAAACUGCAUUCGAUACUGCCGUGCUUGAGGACUGGAGAGGAGACUGGAAUUUACGGUGUAGCGGUGAAAUGCGUAGAUAUCGUAAGGAAGACCAGUGGCGAAGGCGGGUCUCUGGACAGUUCCUGACGCUGAGGUGCGAAAGCGUGGGGAGCAAACAGG